AGGCCUUUGUUGCUGUGCUGGUGAAGAUCCUUUCCCAUAUGAUUGGCUGUCUUUCUAGUUUGGUGGCUAUGUCUUUAGCUGUGCAGAAACUUUUUAUUUUGUAGUAGUCCAUUUGUCGAGACACUCCUCUAUCUGUUGUGCUCCUGCGACUAUAUUCAGGAAUGUUUCUAUUCUUAUCUC